rnacentral:rRNA from 1 species
GGCUGAAGUAGGUCCCAAGGGUUGGGCUGUUCGCCCAUUAAAGCGGUACGCGAGCUGGGUUCAGAACGUCGUGAGACAGUUCGGUCCCUAUCUGUCGUGGGCGUAGGAAAUUUGAGAGGAGCUGUCCUUAGUACGAGAGGACCGGGAUGGACGUACCGCUGGUGCACCAGUUGUUCCGCCAGGAGCACGGCUGGGUAGCUAAGUACGGAAGGGAUAAGCGCUGAAAGCAUCUAAGCGUGAAGCCCCCCUCAAGAUGAGAUUUCCCAAUUCGUAAGACCCCUUGAAGACGACGAGGUAGAUAGGUUGGAGGUGGAAGUGCAGCAAUGCAUGGAGCUGACCAAUACUAAUCGGUCGAGGGCUUAUCCUAAA